GUGUCAGCCGCCGCGGUAAUACGUAGGUGGCAAGCGUUGUCCGGAAUUAUUGGGCGUAAAGGGCUCGCAGGCGGUUCCUUAAGUCUGAUGUGAAAGCCCCCGGCUCAACCGGGGAGGGUCAUUGGAAACUGGGGAACUUGAGUGCAGAAGAGGAGAGUGGAAUUCCACGUGUAGCGGUGAAAUGCGUAGAGAUGUGGAGGAACACCAGUGGCGAAGGCGACUCUCUGGUCUGUAACUGACGCUGAGGAGCGAAAGCGUGGGGAGCGAACAGGAUUAGAUACCCCCGUAGUCCCCUCGUAGUCC
rnacentral:rRNA from 1 species